AUACGUAGGGUGCGAGCGUUAAUCGGAAUUACUGGGCGUAAAGCGUGCGCAGGCGGUUUUGUAAGUCAGAUGUGAAAUCCCCGGACUUAACCUGGGAACUGCGUUUGAAACUGCAAGGCUAGAGUGUGGCAGAGGGGGGUGGAAUUCCGCGUGUAGCAGUGAAAUGCGUAGAGAUGUGGAGGAACACCAAUGGCGAAGGCAGCCCCCUGGGUCAACACUGACGCUCAGGCACGAAAGCAUGGGGAGCAAACAGGAUUAGAAACCCGGGUAGUCC
rnacentral:rRNA from 1 species